CGGCGGCGGCCGAGACGCUGGGAUGGCGGGCGCCGGGAGCGAAGCCCGGUUUGCCGGGCUGUCGCUGGUGCAGCUCAACGAGCUGCUGGAGGACGAGGGGCAGCUGACGGAGAUGGUGCAGAAGAUGGAGGAGAUAAACAAUCCAGCAGCGCUUCCUUGGAGACCCUGUUAGCGCUUCUCCAGGCAGAAGGGGCCAAGAUCGAGGAAGACACGGAGAACAUGGCAGAGAAGUUUCUGGACGGAGAGCUUUCUCUGGA